GAUGAACGCUGGCGGCGUGCCUAAUACAUGCAAGUCGAGCGAACAGACGAGGAGCUUGCUCCUCUGACGUUAGCGGCGGACGGGUGAGUAACACGUGGAUAACCUACCUCUAAUACUGGGAUAACUUCGGGAAACCGGAGCUAAUACCGGAUAAUAUAUUGAACCGCAUGGUUCAAUAGUGAAAGACGGUUUUGCUGUCACUUAUAGAUGGAUCCGCGCCGCAUUAGCUAGUUGGUAAGGUAACGGCUUACCAAGGCAACGAUGCGUAGCCGACCUGAGAGGGUGAUCGGCCACACUGGAACUGAGACACGGUCCAGACUCCUACGGGAGGCAGCAGUAGGGAAUCUUCCGCAAUGGGCGAAAGCCUGACGGAGCAACGCCGCGUGAGUGAUGAAGGUCUUCGGAUCGUAAAACUCUGUUAUUAGGGAAGAACAAAUGUGUAAGUAACUAUGCACGUCUUGACGGUACCUAAUCAGAAAGCCACGGCUAACUACGUG
rnacentral:rRNA from 1 species